rnacentral:rRNA from 1 species
AGCAGCCGCGGUAAUUCCAGCUCCAAUAGCGUAUAUUAAAGUUGUUGCAGUUAAAAAGCUCGUAGUUGAAUUUCGGGGUCAGUAGGCUGGUCGUGCCACAGGUAUGUACUGGUCUCACUGAUUCCUCCUUCCUGAUGAACCGUAAUGCCAUUAAUUUGGUGUUGCGGGGAAUCUGGACUGUUACUUUGAAAAAUUAGAGUGUUUAAAGCAGGCUCGCGCUUGAAUACAUUAGCAUGGAAUAAUGAAAUAGGACGUUCGAUCCUAUUUUGUUGGUUUCUAGGAUUGACGUAAUGAUUAAUAGGGAUAGUUGGGGGCAUUAGUAUUCAAUUGUCAGAGGUGAAAUUCUUGGAUUUUAUUGAAGACUAACUACUGCGAAAGCAUUUGCCAAGGAUGUUUUCAUUAAUCAAGAACGAAAGUUAGGGGAUCGAAGAC